GCAGGGGGAAAAGAAUAGCACAGGGGUGAUGUCUGGGGACACCUAUGGAAGCAGGGGGAGGGACUGGUGUCCAGAGUAGGCCUCCAGGUUGGAAGGAGGCGUGUCUAUAGAAGGCAGAGGGGACAUCAGGACAGCUGGGAGAACCUCCAGGGUAGGCUCAUGCCUGGCCCAGGCUGGGACAGUGCCCGGAAGUGGGUGGGGCUGAGCUGAAGAGGCAAGGCUAAAGGGACCCAGUAGCAUGGAGGGCCCCUUUAGAAAAUCUAAGGCCACUUCAAUUGCUUCCACAAUCUAUUCCCUGGGCACAGGGUUCCUUGUGUCAGGAAAGCAGAUCAAGUAGCUACGGAGAGUUCCCGAGAACACAAGGACCUGGCCCAAAGAACCUGAUGUUCUCCUUUGGCCAGAAAACUGUCCACCCAUCAACAGAGGUAGAGAAUCAAUGCCAGAGUGAAUCCUUCUUACCGGAACAUGCGAUCCCUUUCCAUCCUGCCUUCUUGUGCCCUCAGUUUCACUCAGCCCUCACUGAGUGCCAGCCUCUGCGGAACUCCUGACUGAGAAUCUAACUCCUUGUGGGCAAGGACUUGGCCCAAUCUAUUCACAGCUCUGUCCUCGGGGCCUCGAGGAGAGGCUGACAAUGAGAAGAAGUGCGGGGCAAAUGAAAGCAUGAGCUCACACUAUUCUUACAAGGACCGGAGAGGCAGGGCAUUUCGUGUUUGGGAUGCACUAAUAGCCUGACAAGGGCUCAGUGCAGCCGAGCAAGGCUGAGUGUGUUCUAAAAGAGUCGUCUGAGGAUUCAGCCGCAAUGACCAUACACUCAGAGCAUAGAGCAAGAUACAGACCCUGUUGGUGGCCACCAUGCCAGAGGAGGUGGAUUUGUCUCCUGGGUUUCCUGUGGAAACAGAUUCUGUCAAGGCUUGUGUUCUGUUCAGUCACACAGGUGGCUUUGCUUAGGAUGAGAAGGAAGCCUGUGAGCAUCUGGGUUUGAGGAUGUGGGGAGGACAGGGAUGAGGGCAAGGAGCCUCGGGCAGUGCUGUGUCUGGUUCCCAAUAGGUGCAGGGAAGGACUGAGACCUGGCAUCACAGCUAGCCUGCUGGUGGGCCAGCCCUGGAGGGACAGACAAAAUGCCUAGGUGGACAGAAACAUCUCCAUCUAGUAGAGCACCUGUAAAGUCACAUUGGAACCUUCUACCGCCUGUGUUUGGCUCGCUCCUCACCAAAGAAGCCGUGGAAAGGAAGGUGCAACAUUGGGGCUUACAUGUUGGUGUCCAUGAUGGCCAAAAAGCUGCAUGACUCUACAUCGCUGGAGUUGAGUGUCAAGUCUGAAACAAGCAAGAAAGCAUACAGCAUGGCUUUCCUUAGAGGCUUGCAAGAACACACACAACAGCAGUGGGUCCCCAGCACACCCCUCACUUGCCAGAUGAGGAAAUGGACCCAGGAGGCAAGGAUUUGCCACAUAUGUAGUGUUUCCAUUUAUAUAAGAGGUGUCCUUCCCGAAAGGUUCAUGUAUAAGGGGCUUAGUCCCUAGCUGGUGGUGGUGCUGUUUUGGGUGGUGGUGCAAGCUGCAAGUACCAUUAGCUGGGACCUAGCAGAUGGAACUAAGUAUACUCUGCCACACCCACACCCUCCUUGCCUCGAAGGGCUGACCCCUCUGAAACCAUAAGCCCAAAUAAAUCAAUUGUUUCUUUCAGGUGUUUGGUCAGAGUGACCACAAAAAAAAUUUUUUUUUCCUAACUGUGUGUUGUGAACUAAGGAAGCUAAUGAUAGAAGCCAGACAGACCCAGACCUUCUCACAGCCAGAGCCCUAACCCUCAAGUCUCUGACUGUUCUUCCCUCCUAGGUGGUGCUAUGUCAGCCACAACCUCCAGUCAGCACUCUCCACUUUCAGAGAUGCUGUCUAGAGCUGGGCACCCAUCCCCAUGGCCUCUAUAGUGAGCGGCCAUGCAUGCUGAGAGCAAUGGCUGAUUUACAGUGGAGUGUGUUGUAAGUAUGUAAUGCAUUAUGUUAAUUCAGGGGCACACAUUUAUGUGUGUCCACACAUGUGUGCAUGCAUAUAUGGUCAGUGCAUCUACAUGUGUGUGUGCACAUGAAGGCCAGAGACUGACAAUGAGUACCCUCUUCAGUGGCUCUCCACCUUACACACUGAGGCAGGCUCUCUCCCUUGAACCGAGAGCUCACAUAUUCACCUAGUGCAGCUGGCUGGCUUGCUCCAGGACGUCCUGUCUCUGUCUCCCGAAUGCUGGGCUUGCCGGUGGGCUGCCACACCCUUGUGACAUUUACAUGGGCUCUAGGGAUUUGAACUCCAGUCCUCGGGCUUGCAUGGAGAGCAUUUAACCUUGAGUCAUCUUUCCACCCCCCAAGAUUUGGAGUUGUUACAUGAGUAAAACUUUUAAAAUUUUUAUUUAACAAAUAAAUUUUAUUUAUUCUUUUAGAAUCUCGUUAAGGAUUUUUAGAUACUGAUCAAAUGCUGACAUGAGAUUCUUUUAAAUAGGUUGAAUAAAAUAUUUUUGAGUGGU
rnacentral:lncRNA from 1 species